rnacentral:rRNA from 1 species
GGGGAAUCUUCCGCAAUGGACGAAAGUCUGACGGAGCAACGCCGCGUGAGUGAUGACGGCCUUCGGGUUGUAAAGCUCUGUUAAUCGGGACGAAUGGUUCUUGUGCGAAUAGUGCGAGGAUUUGACGGUACCGGAAUAGAAAGCCACGGCUAACUACGUGCCAGCAGCCGCGGUAAUACGUAGGUGGCAAGCGUUGUCCGGAAUUAUUGGGCGUAAAGCGCGCGCAGGCGGAUUGGUCAGUCUGUCUUAAAAGUUCGGGGCUUAACCCCGUGAUGGGAUGGAAACUGCCAAUCUAGAGUAUCGGAGAGGAAAGUGGAAUUCCUAGUGUAGCGGUGAAAUGCGUAGAUAUUAGGAAGAACACCAGUGGCGAAGGCGACUUUCUGGACGAAAACUGACGCUGAGGCGCGAAAGCCAGGGGAGCGAACGGGAUUAGAUGCCCCGGUAGUCCUGGCCGUAAACGAUGGGUACUAGGUGUAGGAGGUAUCGACCCCUUCUGUGCCGGAGUUAACGCAAUAAGUACCCCGCCUGGGGAGUACGACCGCAAGGUUG